rnacentral:tRNA from 1 species
GCCUCAGUAGCUCAGUUGGCAGUAGCGCCGGUUUCGUAAACCGGAGGUCGUCGGUUCAAUCCCGACCUGGGGCU